rfam:Streptomyces rubellomurinus strain ATCC 31215 contig-277, whole genome shotgun sequence.
CUUCACCGAGCCCAGCCGCAGCGGUAGUUCGCCCGACCGGCCCUGCCCGUACGUCGCCAGCAGCGCCUGCGCCUC